rnacentral:rRNA from 1 species
UGAGGAAUAUUGGUCAAUGGGCGAGAGCCUGAACCAGCCAAGUCGCGUGAGGGAAGACGGUCCUAUGGAUUGUAAACCUCUUUUGUCGGGGAGCAAAAAGGCCUCGUGAGGCCACAAGUGAGAGUACCCGAAGAAAAAGCAUCGGCUAACUCCGUGCCAGCAGCCGCGGUAAUACGGAGGAUGCGAGCGUUAUCCGGAUUUAUUGGGUCUAAAGGGUGCGUAGGCGGACUGGAAAGUCAGCGGUAAAAUCGAGAGGCUCAACCUCUUUCCGCCGUUGAAACUGUCGGACUAGAGACGGCGAGAAGUACGCGGAAUGCGCGGUGUAGCGGUGAAAUGCAUAGAUAUCGCGCAGAACUCCGAUUGCGAAGGCAGCAUGCCGACUCCACACUGACGCUGAGGCACGAAAGCGUGGGUAUCGAACAGG